UACAGAGGUCUCAAGCGUUGUUCGGAUUCAUUGGGCGUAAAGGGUGCGUAGGCGGCGCGGUAAGUCGGGUGUGAAAUCUUGGAGCUUAACUCCGAAACUGCAUUCGAUACUGCCGUGCUUGAGGACUGGAGAGGAGACUGGAAUUUACGGUGUAGCGGUGAAAUGCGUAGAUAUCGUAAGGAACACCAAUGGCGAAGGCAGCUCGCUGGGACGGUACUGACGCUGAGACGCGAAAGCGUGGGGAGCAAACAGG
rnacentral:rRNA from 1 species